rnacentral:misc_RNA from 1 species
GAUGAAGAACGUAGCGAAAUGCGAUAAGUAAUGUGAAUUGCAGAAUUCAGUGAAUCAUCGAAUCUUUGAACGCACCUUGCGCUCCUUGGUAUUCCGAGGAGCAUGCCUGUUUGAGUGUCAUUAAAUUCUCAAUCCAUACAAGUUGUGUAAACAAUUUGUAUGGGCUUGGAUUUGGGAUUUUUGCAGGCUUGUAACAAAGUCAGCUGUCCUUAAAAGAAUUAGCAAAGCUUCUUGUUGUCCAACUCUGGUGUGAUAACUAUCUACGCCAAUGUGAUGGCUUCAUUGUGUAAAGCUUAGCUUCUAAUCGUCGUUGAGACAUCUUUUUGACAAUUUGACCUCAAAUCAGGUAGGACUACCCGCUGAACGUAAGCAUAUCAAUAAGCGGAGGA